GGAAACUGGGUCUAAUACCGGAUACGACGGUCCACCGCAUGGUGGUCCGUGGAAAGCUUGAUGCGGUUUUGGAUGGACUCGCGGCCUAUCAGCUAGUUGGUUGGGGUAAUGGCCCACCAAGGCGACGACGGGUAGCCGGCCUGAGAGGGUGACCGGCCACACUGGGACUGAGACACGGCCCAGACUCCUACGGGAGGCAGCAGUGGGGAAUAUUGCACAAUGGGCGAAAGCCUGAUGCAGCGACGCCGCGUGAGGGACGAAGGCCUUCGGGUUGUAAACCUCUUUCAGCAGGGAAGAAGCGAAAGUGACGGUACCUGCAGAAGAAGCGCCGGCUAACUACGUGCCAGCAGCCGCGGUAAUACGUAGGGCGCAAGCGUUAUCCGGAAUUAUUGGGCGUAAAGAGCUCGUAGGCGGUUUGUCGCGUCUGCUGUGAAAGCCCGGGGCUCAACCCCGGGUCUGCAGUGGGUACGGGCAGACUAGAG
rnacentral:rRNA from 1 species